ensembl:lncRNA
GCGGAACCCUUCAGGAGGCCGGCGGCAAGGACGAUGAGGGCUCAGUCCCUCAGGAGACCUGCAGUGGCACAGAACCCCCUCAGAAGGCCGGCAGCGGUGAAGGCGGAACCCUUCAGGAGGCCGGCGAAGGCGAGGUAGAGGGCGGGUCCCCUUAAGAGGAAGGCCAGGUAGAGGGCGGGUCCCCUCAGGAGGCAGGCCAGGUAGAGGGCGGGUCCCCUCAGGAGGCAGGCCAGGUAGAGGGCGGGUCCCCUCUGGUGGACAGGGUAGAGGGCGGGUCCCCUCUUGUAGAAGGCCAGGCAGAGGGCGGGUCCCCUCUGGUAGAAGGCCAGGUAGGAACGGAGGGCGUGCCUCCCCUGGACGGUCUGGAGGGCGGACCCCCUCCGGCAGGAGCAGAGGCCGGUCCCCCUCUGGAAGGAGCAGGGGGCGGGCCCCCUCAGGCAGGAGCGGAGGCCGGUCCCCCUCUGGAAGGAGCAGGGGGCGGGCCCCCUCAGGCAGGAGCGGAGGGCGGACCACCUCAAGCAGGCGAAGAGGCCGGUCCCCCUCUGGAAGGCGAGGAGCGGGCUCAGGAACCGGACAGGGCUCGGGGACCGGAGUCAGUGCGGGAGCUGGAGUGCCAGGAGGAACCGGGUGGUACCCCAAACUCUUCCAGCGAUCUAUUGCCUUCAUAAUAAAUAAAUCCUCCCACUCACGGCUAACUUGAUCGUCCGCUGGGUCCAUUGUCUUAUUUAUUUUGGCUAUCAAAUCCUCCAACUUACGGUCAAAUUGCGCGUCCGCUGGGUCCCAUCGUGACGGUGCUGUCAUUCUGUUAAGG